rnacentral:rRNA from 1 species
GUGGGGAAUAUUGCGCAAUGGGCGAAAGCCUGACGCAGCAACGCCGCGUGGGGGAUGAAGGCCUUCGGGUUGUAAACCUCUUUCAGCAGGGAAGAAGCGAAAGUGACGGUACCUGCAGAAGAAGCACCGGCUAACUACGUGCCAGCAGCCGCGGUAAUACGUAGGGUGCAAGCGUUGUCCGGAUUUAUUGGGCGUAAAGAGCUCGUAGGCGGUUAGUCACGUCGGAUGUGAAAACCCGGAGCUUAACUCCGGGCCUGCAUUCGAUACGGGCUGACUAGAGUGUUGUAGGGGAGACUGGAACUCCUGGUGUAGCGGUGAAAUGCGCAGAUAUCAGGAAGAACACCGGUGGCGAAGGCGGGUCUCUGGGCAACUACUGACGCUGAGGAGCGAAAGCGUGGGGAGCAAACAGGAUUAGAUACCCUUGUAGUCC